UAAGGAAUAUUGGACAAUGGAGGCAACUCUGAUCCAGCCAUGCCGCGUGCAGGAAGACGGCCUUAUGGGUUGUAAACUGCUUUUAUACAGGAAGAAACCUGCUCACGUGUGAGCAGCUGACGGUACUGUAAGAAUAAGGAUCGGCUAACUCCGUGCCAGCAGCCGCGGUAAUACGGAGGAUCCAAGCGUUAUCCGGAAUUAUUGGGUUUAAAGGGUCCGCAGGCUGUUUGUUAAGUCAGAGGUGAAAUCCUACCGCUCAACGGUAGAACUGCCUUUGAUACUGACAAACUUGAGUUAUUGUGAAGUAAUUAGAAUGUGUAGUGUAGCGGUGAAAUGCAUAGAUAUUACACAGAAUACCGAUUGCGAAAGCAGAUUACUAACAAUAUACUGACGCUGAGGGACGAAAGCGUAGGUAGCGAACAGG
rnacentral:rRNA from 1 species